AAUAUCGUUAAGGGGUGUCCUGAUGGAAGCGAGCGUCAGCAAGCUUUGAUAUCGGGACUGAGAUCAAACCCGUUGAACCUGAUCUGGGUAAUUCCAGCGGAGGGAUAAAAAUGCCAAACUCC
rfam:Candidatus Gottesmanbacteria bacterium RBG_16_38_7b RBG_16_scaffold_5644, whole genome shotgun sequence.